rnacentral:RNase_P_RNA from 1 species
GGAGUUGACUGGAUAGUCGCUGCUUCGUUGAUGUCCUUACUUGUUUUUAUUUCGAUAGGAAUUAAGUGGGAGACUGUCGGAGGGGAGGAAAGUCCGGGCUUCAAAGAGCAGGGUGCCAGGUAACGCCUGGGGAGCGUGAGCUCACGACAAGUGCAGCAGAGAGAAGACCGCCGAUGGCUUAAUUCCGAUCCUUUCGGGGAGAAGAUAAGCACAGGUAAGGCUGAAAGGGUGCGGUAAGAGCGCACCGUGCGUCUGGCAACAGUUCGUAGCAAGGUAAACUCCACCCGAAGCAAGACCAAAUAGGCCCUCACAUUGCGUUGCUCGCGUAAGGGGGCGGGUAGGUUGCUCGAGCCAGUGAGCGAUUACUGGCCUAGACGAAUGGCUAUCGCCGCGCAAGCGGAGACAGAACCCGGCUUAUGAUGUCAACUCCACCU